rnacentral:rRNA from 1 species
ACCGGCAGCUCAAGUGGUGGCAAUUUUUAUUGGGCCUAAAGCAAACGUGGACGGUUUGAUAAGUCUCUGGUGACAUCCCGCAGCUUAACUGUGGGACUUGCUGGAGAUACUAUUAGACUUGAGGCCGGGAGAGGUUACGGGUACUCACAGGGUAGGUGUGGGUUCCUAUAAUGGUGGGAGGAGGGACUGUGGCGAAGGCGCCUAACUGGAGCUAGCCUGACGGUGAGUAGCGAAGGCGGGGGGCGCGGACCC